CCAUUAGAUGAGAAAACCUUUAGCAAACUUAGGAAUGAGCUAAAUAUACUUGAUUCUCGGAUUUUUGAUUGAAACUUUGCACACAUAGCUCAUUGAUAUACCUUUGAUUUGCUACGACUAAUGUAUUUUCAAGUAUAUUCUUAUAAUAAGUCAUAGAUUGAAAGGGAAAUGGAGUUCUUCGGCGAAGACAAGGCUUCAACUCCACUCUACUGAUAUCACUUACCCUUCGCCGUCACUCCACAUAACUCUCCAAAUUGGUAUAAUCUUUCACUCGUAUCUACUUGUACCAAUGGGGAGAAAGUAAACAGGGCUCACAAAAGUCUCCGUUUUUGGCGAUUAAUGCCAAAGGGGGAGAAAGUAUUAGCCCAAAAGCAAAAGGACCGCAUCACCACCUUUCGAAAAAUUUUAAUUGAUAUAUUUCAAAUUGGUAUGUUUACCUUCAAUUGGUAUAUUUUCAAAACUAACAUCUCAAUAUAUUUCCAAUUGAUAUCUAUUAAAACUCUCUUGAAAGCUAAGAGGAGAAUUUCAUUAGGGGGAGUUUUGUUUAGUCAAAGGAAAAGCAUUUGAAACAGGGGGAGAAAUUUGAAAUCUUGAAAAUGCUUCUUACAAUCUUAUUCAUAUACCUUUGACUAAAAACAUUUUCCAAAAGAAUUUUCAAAAACGAAACAAGUGGUGCAAGUGUGGUCCAAAAUGUUAAAUAAAAGAAAGCAAACCAUGCAUAUCUAGUGAAAGUAUAAUUUGGUUUAAUUCUAAGUAACCUAUGCACUCACCUUAUGCAAACUAGUUCAAUUCUGCACUUAUAUAUAUUUGCUUUAGUUUGUGUUGGCAUCAAUCACCAAAAAGGGGGAGAUUGAAAGGGAAAUAGGGUUAACCUUUUCCUAGUAUUAAUUUUGGUGGUUGAAAUGCCCAACACAAAUAUUGGACUAACUAGUUUGCUCUAGAUUAUAUAUUCUACAGGUGCAUAAAGGUUGAACACAAACCAAUAAAAGAACAAAGUUAGAGUUCAAAAUUAAAGGAGCAAAGGAACCAAGGGUGCCCUGGUGCACCAGGACCGUACAACUCCAAACUCGCCACCCUCGGGUUUUUCUGGGCGUGCUCCGCUAUAAUUCACCGGACUGUCCGGUGCACCAGCGGAGCAACGGCUACUUCGCGGAACGGUCGCCUGCAAAAGCUGAAUUCAAGAUGAACAGUGCGCAAACAGUGCGCGGCAGAGCAGAGCAGCCGUCAGAGGCGCACCGGACAAUGAACAGUACCUGUCCGGUGCCACUAGAAGACAAAGCCUCCAACGGUCGUCUGCGCCCGAACCCUAACGGUUAGUUGGGUGACGUGGCUAGCGCACCCGACAGUGUCUGGUGGCGCACCGGACUGUCCGGUGCGCCCAUCGACAGCAGCCCCUCCCCAACGGUUGUUUGGUGGUUGAGGGCUAUAAAUACCCAUCAACUACCUCCACUCCAACCAUCCAAGCAUUCACCACACUUCAUUCAAUACAAGAGCAAAGUGCAACACUCCAAGACACAAAUCAAAGCCACCGAUCCAAUCAAAGUCUCCAAUUCAAUUCUAGUGCUUUAGGACUUAAGAGAGGAUCGUUCUUGUGUUUCUUUGUUGCUCUUGUUGCUUGGUUGGCUUUCUUCUUUCUCUCAUUCUUAUUCUCAAAGCCUUGUAAGCGAAGCAAGAGACACCAAUCGUGUGGUGGUCCUUGCGGGGUCUAAGUGACCCGAGAAAUCAAGGAAGAAAGCUCACUCAGUCUAAGUGACCGUUUGAGAUAGGGAAAGGGUUGAAAGAGACCCGGUCUUUGUGACCACCUCAACGGGUACUAGGUUCUUUAGAAUCAAACCUCGGUAAAACAAAUCACCGUGUCCAUCCGUUUUAUUUCUUAGUUGAUUUGUUUUCCCCUCUCUCCUGGACUUGAUAUUUGUUCUAACGCUAACCCCGGCUUUUAGUGUGUUUAAAGUUAUAAAUUUCAGUUUCUGCCUAUCCACCCCCCUCUAGGUGACUUUCACUAACAAAUCAACUUGUGAAGAGUUUAGUAGGAUCAUGAUACAAAAAUUUGAGAUGUCUAUGAUGGGGGAGUUGAAGUAUUUCCUUGGAUUUCAAAUCAAGCAACUCCAAGAGGGCACCUUCAUCAGCCAAACAAAGUACAUUCAAGACAUGCUUAAGAAGUUUGGGAUGAAGGAUGGCAAACCCAUCAAGACACCCAUGGGAACCAAUGGGCAUCUCAACCUCGACACGAGAGGUAAAUCCGUAGAUCAAAAGGUAUACUGGUCGAUGAUAUGAUCUUUACUCUAUUUAUGUGCAUCUCGACCAGAUAUUAUGCUUUCCGUAUGCAUGUGUGCAAGAUUUUAGGCCGAUCCUAAGGAACUUCACCUUAGGGUCGUGAAAAGAAUCAUGAGAUACUUAGUUUACACUCCUAAGUUUGGGCUUUGGUACCCCAAGGGAUCCACCUUUGAUUUAAUAGGAUAUUCCGGUGCCGAUUGGGCAGGGUGUAAGAUUCAUAGGAAGAGCACAUCAGGGACUUGUCAGUUUCUAGGGAGAUCCCUGGUGUCAUGGGCUUCAAAGAAACAAAACUCAGUAGCUCUUUCCACCACCGAGGCUGAGUAUAUUGCCACAGGCCAUUGUUGUGCGCAAUUACUUUAGAUAAGGCAAACCCUCAGGGACUAUGGCUACAAUUGAGCAAAGUCCCUCUCCUAUGUGAUAAUGAGAGUGCAAUCCGCAUGGCGGAUAAUCCCGUUGAACACAGCCGCACUAAGCACAUAGACAUUCGGUAUCACUUUCUGAGGGAUCACCAACAAAGGGGGAUAUCAAAAUAGCUUAUGUAAACACCAAGAAUCAAUUAGCUGAUAUCUUUACCAAACCAUUAGAUGAGAAAACCUUUAGCAAACUUUGGAAUGAGCUAAAUAUACUUGAUUCUCGGAAUUUUGAAUGAAACAUUGCACACAUAGCUCAUUUAUAUACCUUUGAUCAUGUCUCUUUCAUUUAGUACAAAUGCAUAUUUCUUAUUAUUUAUGUACCAAGGCUACGACUAAUGUGUUUUCAAGUAUAUUUCUAUACUAAGUCGUAGAUUGAAAGGGAAAUGGAGUAUUUGGCGAAGACAAGGCUUCCACUCUAACGGUAUCAUUAAUCCUUCGUCGCUACUCCGCACACUGCAAAUUUGUAUAAUCCUUUACUCUUAUUUACUUGUACCAAUGGGGAGAAAAUAUUAAAAGGCUCUCAACAUCUCCGUUUUUGGCGAUUAAUACCAAACGGGGAGAAAUAUUAAGCCCAAAGCAAAAGGACCGCACCACCAUGAUUUCAAAAUUUUCAAAAUAAAGCUUUAAUUGAUAUUUGGCAAUUUCUCAAUUGGUAUCCAUGCUUCACUUAUCUUGAGAAAGCAAAAUUUCAAUUGGUAUAAAGUUUUAAAUUGGUAUUUUUCACAUUGGUAUCUAUGAUGAAAACCCCUUCAAUUGGUAUCUUUAGAAGUUCAUCUUUAAAUUGGUAUCUAUUUUAAAACCCUCUUGAAAGCUAAGAGGAGAAUUUCAUUCAGGGGAGUUUUGUUUAGUCAAAGGAAAAGCAUUUGAAAUAGGGGAGAAAUUUCAAAUCUUGAAAAUGCUUCUUGCAAUCUUAUUCAUAUACCUUUGACUAUUUGCAAAAAGACUUUGAAAAGAUUUUCCAAAAGAAUUUGCAAAAACAAAACAGGUGGUGCAAAUGUGGUCCAAAAUGUUAAAGAAAAGAAAAGCAAUUCAUUCAUAUCUAGUAAGAUUAUCAAUUGGUUUAAUUCCAAGUAACCUAUGCACUUACCUUAUGCAAACUAGUUCAUUUCUGCACUUUAUCUAUUUGCUUUGGUUUGUGUUGGCAUCAAUCACCAAAAAGGGGGAGAUUGAAAGGGAAAUAGGGUUAACCUUUUCCUACAAUUAAUUUUGGUGGUUGAAUGUCCAACACAAAUAUAUGGACUAACUAGUUUUCUCUAGAAUACAUGUUCUACAGGUGCAUAAGGUUCAACACAAACCAAUAAAUAUUCAAGUUAGGGACCCAAUCCAAAAGGAGCAAAAAAGGACUUGAGUGUGCUGUGGUCUGGCGCACAGGACUGUCUGGUGUGCCACCGAACAGUGUACGGUGCACCAGGACCGUACAGGGUCUAACCAGCUACUCUCAGAAAAACGCGGGCGCGCUCCCCUAUAAGUCACCGGACUGUCUGGUGUGCCACCGGGAAACGACUAUCCAGCACGCAACAGUCGACUCUGACAAGAGCUACAAUGAGCAACAGUGUCACACCGAAGUCAGAGCAGCGAAGUUAGAGGGGCACCGGACUGUCCCGUGUGGCACCGGACUGUCCGGUGCCGCAAGAGGACAAAGCUCCAACGGUCGCCCGAGCUCCGAACCCUAACGGUUGGGUGACGUGGCGGCGCACCGGACAGCCUACAGUGCUUGUCCGGUGGCGCACCGGACUGUCCGGUGUGCCCAUCGCCAGCAGCCUCCCCAAUAGCUACGUUGGUCGUUGAGGGUUAUAAAUACCCCCAACCACCACAACUCCAAGCAUCCAAGUUGUCUGAACAUCACAUUCAAUACAAGAGCUCUAGCAUUCACUCCAAGACACAAUACAAAAUGUCAAAUCCUCUUCGAGUCCCAAAUUCACUGCAAACACUUGGUGGCUUGUGUGACAGAGAUUUUUGUGUUCAUUUGAGUUCUUGUCGCUUGGAUUGGCUUUCUUCUUUUCCCAUUCUUAUUCUCAAGAGCUUUGUAAGCGAGGCAAGAGACACCAAGUGUGUGGUGGUCCUUGCGGGGUCUUAGUGACCCGUGAGAUUAAGGAAGAAGGCUCACUCGGUCUAAGUGACCGUUUGAGAGAGGAAAGGGUUGGAAUAGACCCGGUCUUUGUGACCUCCUCAAUGGGGACUAGGUUCUUUGGAACCAAACCUCGGUAAAACAAAUCAUUGUGUUCAUCCGCUUGAUUUUCAUUUGAUUUGCUUUCCCCCUCUCUCUCCCGGACUUGUUAUUUGUUCUAACACUAACCCUGGCUUGUAGUGUGUGAUUAAAGUUGUAAAUUUCAGAUUACGCCUAUUCACCCCCCCCCCCUCUAGGCGACUUUCAAUUUUCACUAUGCAUAUAAACAAUUUAUCAUUAUGGUCAAUCAAUCUAUUUGUAUCGUAUUAGUCAUAUGAACUGAAAGAAAGAAAAGCAAGUGAAAUGACGGAAUGGAAAUGAAGCCACUUGAACUAUUCUUAAUGAGUACAAACAUUGCAGGAAUAAAUGAGUCGGGGUGUUUGGUUUCUAGGGACUAAUUUUUAGUCCCACUAUUUUAUUUUAUUUUAGUCACUAAAUUGCCAAAGUUUCCAUAUUUGCAAUUUAUGGAAUAAGGGGAUGUUUGGGAUGGCUUCAGGUUCCAGCUCCAGCGUGGAGUUGUAGUUUAUAAUAUAAUUUAAAUAGUUUUAAAGAUAUUUUUAGUCUAAAUAAUAAAUAAAAUGGCUUACCUAACUAUCAUUUAAAGGCUUCUAGUCGGUUACCCGUGCGUUGCGACGGCUCACAACAAUACCCACAUAAAUUAUCCACCAAAAAGAUCUCAAGAUUUUUUAUUGAUUAUCUCCGCUCUUCAUAUAAUAUUUUUUAUGAACGCACGGGUACCAUAGGUAGCAAAUCAGAGACCCCCAUCCCUCGCCUCCCCACUUGCAAGGUUUCGUAGAGCAGGAGGGGAAGGGAAGAGGCAGACAUACCUGAGGGGAAGGGAAGAGGCAGACAUACCUGUUCGUUGCUAGAGAAAGACACGACGAAGACAUGGGCAUUUGGAUGCGACAUAGGUAGUACACCGCUAGAUAUAUAGGGAGAGAGCACGCAAGCGGAGAAAGAAGCCCAGCCGGAGCAGCUCCAAACCGAGAGGCACCCGCACUAGGCGUCAAUCCGAAAAGGGCGAGAGAAUGCGAGUGUCUUUCCAGCCCUGGACCCACCGAAGCGACACAACAACACCACCAACUAUGUAGCAUAUGCUGACUGCUGCCACGCUACGGGCCUUGGUUGUCCAAUAUCUCAGACCUGGACUCCUCAUCGCCAAGAUAACCUAAGCGUGGCAGGCGCCACUAUGUCCUCCUUGACGGCACGCACAGAGAAAGGCCAGAAGCAUGACUGACUCGCCCCGUACCUGCGUCGGCGAGCGUCGGUCGGCUCGCGGCUACGACCGUGGGCGAGGGCAGCAGGUUGGGGAAGAAGAACCGGGCGAAGUCCAGGAAGAUGAACGGGAUGUCCGACGACGACGAAAACGAUAUGAUGGUGCGCGCAUGAUGUGAAACGUCCUCGUGGACGUGCAAUAGCCACUGCGCGAGUCGGUGUCGAGGCUAGUGUCGGACGAAUACGGGUAGGAGGCGCAUGCUCCUACGCCCUCUGCCGAGAAUGGGGUGGCGCAGAGGUGGAGGCAUGAGGGGAGAGAGAAAUUAAGUAGAAUGGCGAAUGAGGUGGUGACAACUGAGGCGAGGACCAUCAUUAUCGUGUGGAGGUAUAGAUGGCCAACUGGGUUGUGUCUGGCGAGCCGGCCCGAGGCACGACCCAUUUAAUAGUGCCUGGGCCAACUCGGCGCGAGCGCCGUGCUGUGCUUGGGUUGUAGCCUCGGCCCGACACGAUUAUUUUUUUAUUACAAAAAAUCAUAUAUACAUAUGUACAAUUUAUAUUCAAUAUUAUAAAUACCUAAGCAUGAUGUUUUACUGGUUAGACAGCUUCGUCCAGUGUCUCACACCAUUCUUCCAUCAAGGUGUGGGUUCAAACACCACCUCCUACAUCCCUUUUUAACAUAACCCACCUCCCGCACCGCUUUUUGACAUUUUACGCUGAGUUAAUUUAGAAGAAAUGUAGAGACUUUUUUGUAAAAAGUUGACGCAGGACGACCGUUGAAACUGUUGCUUUAAGUAUAGUAGAGAUAACUCGAUCUCCAUGAUUUUCUAAAGCACCUAAUGACCUGCUCCAGGAACUCCACUAAAUUUUCUAGAGCUGCAGUUAUCCAAACAAGACCUAAAAUAGAACAAAAUGGAGGGACUAAAAAUUAGUUACUAAACCAAACACCCCUUAGUUCUGAGAAGUUUUAGGUGUAGGUCUCGUUUUGAUAGAAAAGGUAGUAGUACAAUUUUACAAAGCAGCAACAAUGUCUGUCCUAACGCCGCGACUACAAAACUAAACAUGUUCAACCGUCGGAUCGAGUUAAGGUUGGAUCAUGGGUCAUUUAACAUGGCCCGUAUUCGACCCGUGUCUAGUAUCGGGUCAAGUUGGUUCGUGUCUUCUUGUUUGACGUGCCAAGUCGAGUUUUUCUAUGUUGGGUCAGAUUUUAAGUAAUAACCAUGGCCUAUACCCAGCCGUAAAUUAUUGUUGGUGAAGAAUUAUUACCCGUGAUCAUUUAUUAUAUUAGUUUGGAUCAGAUGCAGCCAAGUUUUUUUCGAAUCGGUUGAGUCUGGUUGGUUGGAUCAUGUGGCCAGGUCUAGCCGAAACAAGCCGGAGAUUGAUCCGCCACAUGCCCACAUCGGACUAGGACCAGCCGAACAACCAUUCCCAAUUUCUCCGCCGCCAAGGCACGAAGCCGGAGCACGAUGGCAGCCACCACGAAUCGGUUUCCCCCACGCCAUGUCCUCCCCCUGCAUCUCGCACCAGUGCACCACCAGCAGGUCCGUCUCCGUCUCCGAGCUGCCGGACGCCUUCCCGCCCCAGACACGGCCUCGUUCUGAAUUAUAUCCACUGGAUUCUUUUGGUACCAAUGUGGUAUAUAUCUUUGUUCAGAGCAUACAGUGAGUAGAUGAGAUUGUCAGCUGAUUUUUAUCAUCACAAGAUUGUCGCCUUGAAUUUUGAGGAGAAUAUAACUCUCUGUUAGUCAGGUCAUCGAAGGCCGAGCUAUUUUUCACAUUCUCAGUUAUAUAAUAGUUUCAGGUUAAUAGCGGAUUAUCAUUUUCUAAUUUCAGAACAAAGCAGUUUGAUGAAUUUACCUCAAGGCUGCUAGAAAUUCAUGAUAAGAUGAUGUCUAUAAAUACGAAAGAGGAUAUACACUUAGGAUUGCACCGGUCUGACUAUAUGCUGGAUUCUUAAACCAAUUCACUACUUCAAAUUGAGCUCAACACUAUCCCAUCAUCCUUUCCUGGCCUUGGCUCCUUUGUCAGUGAACUUCAAAGGUUGUACAAAAUGAUAUUCCACCAGAAAGCAUGGAGGCCAUGCGCCCGGUGCAGUAGCUCCUACCAACACGGACAAGCACUCCAGCGUCCAAAAUGAAUAAUCUUUCAAAG